UACAGAGGGGGCAAGCGUUAUUCGGAAUCACUGGGCUUAAAGGGUGCGUAGGCGGGUCAGUAAGCGCUUUGUGAAAUCCCACAGCUCAACUGUGGAACCGCAGGGCGAACUGCUGAUCUUGAGGAAGCUAGAGGCUGGUAGAACGAUAGGUGGAGCGGUGGAAUGCGUAGAGAUCUAUCGGAAUGCCGAAAGUGAAGACAGCCAGCUGGGGCUUUCCUGACGCUAAAGCACGAAAGCGUGGGGAGCAAACCGG
rnacentral:rRNA from 1 species